rnacentral:rRNA from 1 species
UACGAAGGGGGCUAGCGUUGUUCGGAAUUACUGGGCGUAAAGGGCGCGUAGGCGGCGUGUCAAGUCAGGCGUGAAAUUCCCGGGCUCAACCUGGGGGCUGCGCUUGAUACUGAUGAGCUUGAAUGCGGGAGAGGAUAGUGGAAUUCCCAGUGUAGAGGUGAAAUUCGUAGAUAUUGGGAAGAACACCGGUGGCGAAGGCGGCUAUCUGGCCCGUAAUUGACGCUGAGGCGCGAAAGCGUGGGGAGCAAACAGG